CUCGUGCAAGGCUUGGCUUAUCGUGCAUCGUGCCAAUAUACGAGUACUUAGUACAUAGUAGUGCUGAUUACAGCUGAACAAUUGUGGCAAUAGAGUGUGGAGCCGAUCGAAUGGUCGCUCUAAGUUGUCUACGGUCGUUCUAAAGAAUCAGUCAUCAACAGGCAGUUAGUCAUGUACGGUCGUUCUAAGGAGUCAGUUGUCAACGGUCGUUCUAAGGAGUCAGUCAAGAACGGCCGUUCUAAGCAGUAGUCAGUUGUGAGAAGUCCUGAGCUGCCGCUAAAGGAGGAGCUGUCAGCAGUCGGGACUACUCGUGAGAAGUCUCUGUUCGUGUGCAGUCGUAGUCAAGAAGACUACGGUCCUUCUAAAGAAUCAGUCAUCAACAGGCAGUUAGUCAUGUACGGUCGUUCUAAGGGGUCAGUUGUCAACGGUCGUUCUAAGGAGUCAGUCGAGAACGGCCGUUCUAAGCAGUCAGUUGAGAGCAGUCCUGAGCAGCCGCUAAAGGAGGAGCUGUCAGCAGUCGGGACUACUCGUGAGAAGUCCUCAGAUUUCUCUUAAAUUUACAUUAAAUUCGUCAUAAAUAAAGACUACUUCAACUUAUAUUUCUAGCUAUACCCAACACUUUGUUUCUUCCCAGUUCAGUUCUGAUAUGACACAUAUAGUAUUAUAAAAUAUAUUAUACACUGAACAAUAAUCUACAUAAAUAAAUUGAAAUUCGUCUCCAGCAUA